UUUCCUUUAAAAAAUAUAUCAAAAGUCUGACAGAGCGAUAGCUGUGCAAUAACAUGCGCUGGCCAGUGCCUCACCCUUGGCUCCCGCUACAUCCACGCAGGUUAGGACCCUGUGAUGGGGGGGUCAUUGUACAUUUUCCAAAACCAAGUAACUGUCUGUGGUAAAUUAAGCUUCUACAAGAACUUUCUGUGGUGAAUUUAGCUUUAAAAGUAACUUUCUGUGUUAAAUUUAGCUUUAACAGUAACUUUCUAUGGUAAAUUAACUUUCUGUGGUAAAUUUAGCUUUUACAAUAACUUUCUGUGGUAAAUUUAGCUUUACCAGUAACUUUCUAUGGUAAAUUAACUUUCUGUGGUAAAUUUAGCUUUUACAAUAACUUUCUGUGUUAAAUUUAGCUUUAACAGUAACUUUCUAUGGUAAAUUAACUUUCUGUGGUAAAUUUAGCUUUUACAAUAACUUUCUGUGGUAAAUUUAGCUUUAACAGUAACUUUCUGUGGUAAAUUAAGCUUCUACAAUAACUUUCUGUGGUAAAUUAAGCUUUAACAGUAACUUUCUGUGAUAAAUUUAGCUUUAACUAAUGCAGGUUCUGUGUAGCAGCAGCAGCGGAUUUGGAGCUCUCGCAUCCUCCAAGCUUGUAGCCGUACUUGAAUUUGGUUUUGUGUUAUGCCAUACGGACCCGGGGGCCACUGAACCUGCAUUACCGACGACAGUGGGGGCUCACCGAUAGCCUUAGCCGCCGGGUAGGCACGUAUGGUUGUGUUGCGGUUAGAUUCGAGCAUCAUAUAAAUGCAGUGUUGGAAUUAUUUGCCACGUUACAUUUGUUUGCUUGGCUGAGUAUCUUCAUUCAAUCUCAAUUUAUCCUGAGUUGCUAUUUAUCCCGGCAAUAGAAUCUUAAAAGUAGAUUUAUCUCGUGCAUAUACUUUAAUUACUUACCUUUGAUUUCUUUAUUUAUCUGCUCUCCCAGUGCCCGCUGCUAGCUGGUUAUCAUCACGCAAUACCGGCCUGUUAGCCUGGCUACCGCUUUCACACCAAUUAUCUCUGUUGUUCUUGCUCUACAACAUUGUCAUUUAUGUCUCUGCCUUUGAGUGCAGGUGAGGACACUUUCAAGCUAAAAUCGGUGGAACUGGAGCUGGAGGCCGUGGAGAAGCAAAUCCGCGACCUACAGGUGAAGCAGGCCGAGCUAUGGGAGCGGAAAGCCGCGCUGGAAGCUCCCCGGCCGGUCGCUCACCUGUCUCAGACUCUGGCAGUGAGGCUCACAGUGACCAUGCCACCCACCUCUCACUCUGCAGUGGAGACUCCCUGUGCACAUUCUACUCCAAAUACGCAUCCUCCUCCUCACUCUGCCAGCAAGGCUCCCAAUGAGCAUUCCAUCUCAGAUAUGCCUUCGCCCUCUGGAAGCAAACCUAACCAAUUGGCUAGGAUCCAAAGAAAACAUUCUCUGUUGAGGACACCUUCACCUGGCUGCAGGAACUGCCAUCUUUUGUUUGCUGAGCUUAAAGUGGUCAAGCAACUGCUCCAGUGUGAAGUUGAAAGAAACCAUGAGCUCAAGCAUGUACAUGCUUCAGCAAACCGGGCAAACGUGAGUAUGGUAUUUCUCUGAUACGUACAUGUCUGAAGUACAUGAAGUUUUAAUUUACUUUUGAUAAAUUACCUUUGAUCUGUUUUACAUACUUUUUUUAUUUCAGCUAGAUAAGUAUAAACAAAACAAACCCUUUUCGCCCAAUAAAGCCCCUCAGUAUGGUAAAUAUGUUCGACACUUCUACCAAAAUAAUUGCUACUAACUUGAAGGAUAAGUGACAUUGUAUAACUCACCGUGACAUCGUAAAACUUUGACAAAUGAUUUAGGAUUUUAGGUUUUUAAAAUGUAUCUUUGUGUCCUCUCAGUAAGACUAGUUGAAGAGUUUAGGGGCCAUAUACAAAGCAGGAAUACACAAUAAAAUGCCAAGCACUGAGCCACUCAUGUGAUCCAUUUUCUGGAAUUUAUGGCAGACUCGAGAAUUCCAAAUGUCGAUCUACUUUUCCUGAAAAAUAGUAGAGUCCGCAAUUUUGUGGCACACCUCCAAGAGAAAGGCUUUAAACCAACAACUCAGAGACUGUACUUGAUGAAUGUUGUGCCUUUCCUUAAAUACAUUUUAAACAUGUCACCACAAUCUGUGAGACUUGGAACCAAGAGGAUAAAUGCUCUUGGUUGAAUUGAGGGAUCGUCUAAUAGAUAUUGGGCGAAAUGUAGUCGGGCACCAGCUUAGCAUGCGCCGAUCAAAGUCUGAGAGACUUGUUGAUGCCAAAAUACACAAUGCAUUCCUUGAAAUGGCUCCUGUGAAUAUUGCUGCAAUACUGGUUAUGGAUCCCUGCUCAUUGCAAUUAUUUUAUAUAUAAAUUGAUCAAGAAUCUUAGAAAAAUGAUUAUAUGAGCCCAAAUUUGUUAAGAUGAUCUUGAGAAGCAGCUGGUGAACCGACCAAAUACUGAGAAUAUUUUUUGGGUUUCUGGGCAGAUACAUCAUCGCUACAACUGGCCACCGAAAGGGUGUCGUCAUCGACAUGACUACCGAAGAGGUCGAGACGGCAGCAAAAACUAAGAAUGGUGGCUGCAUCAUUUGUGCCAAGCAGCAACUGGGACAUAAAACAUACAGGAAAGUGGCAACCUUUAUGUGUCAUGACGAACAUACAGCCAAAAGAUUUUAUCUAGGCUAGUUAAUUAAAUUAAUGGCAGACCUACCUAUUAUGCCAUAGCAGCUAUCAGCUUGUAUUAAUUUUUUCAAUUGCUUUGCACAGUUGAGGACCCAGCAGAGGAAGUACAGAGUAGCAGAUACCUGUCGACAUUGACAAUUUCAACAUAUGCAGCAAAGAAAAAGAAAAGAGAAAGGAGAAAGAAGGGUCAUGACAAAGAGGAGACCGUGUCCUCUUUCGGAGGAAGAAGAUGGGCUGGAGCCUGUGAGAAAAAGGCUUUUCCAGCCGCAUAAGAAUCUGGCAGAUUCUGAAGAGAUGACAGAGCAUAGACAUUACCAACUGCAGAAGAGAAAUAAAUCUGUGCAGUCAAAGGAAGAAACACCAGUGAGUUUACAAUUUUAGCCCUUCUUUAACUUGUUUAAAAACAAAUGAUGAUCUAUUACAAACAGCGUUGGACAAACGAUUGGAGUGAAAGCUGAAAUUAAUAAACAAGAUAUCCACACACAAUAUAAGAGCACUAAACAAUUGGUGAGCGCCACUGAAGACGAAGAGGCUGAUGAAUGGAAACCUACUCAGGACUCUUCAGAGGAUGAUUCAAGAGUGGAUGAGGAGCCAGUGAGAGCGUGCAUGAGAAAAGAGGGAUCACACAAGAAAGAGAGAGUUAUUAGCUCCAUUCUUCAAAGACAGAAGGGCAGGAUUGCAGUUAAGGUCCCCUUUGGUAUGCAGCAAGCCUUCGUAAACCCAGGAACAGCAAGGGUACUGAAGAGUCAGUCAUCAAACAUUGAAGCAUUUCAUCAGUUUAUUUGAAGUCCCCACACCAAUAUCUGUUUUAAGUAACAUCAAAAGACAACAGGUUGGCUCUCCAUCUGUGCAGAUGUGCACCUCUGUGGAUGUGACCCUGGAUCCUGAUACAGCUCAUCCUGAUCUCAUCCUGUCUGCUGAUGGAAAACAAGUGACACAUGGAGACAGACGACAGAAUCUCCCUGAUACACCACAGAGGUGUAAUCCAUCUAUCCGUGUUCUGGGAAAGCACAGUUUCUCCUCAGGGAGGUUUUAUUAUGAGGUGCAGGUCAGAGGGAAAACUGGCUGGUCAUUAGGAGUUGCGAGAGAGAACAUUAACAGGAAGAGGGCAGUUACACUGAAUCCUCAGGAUGGAUUCUGGACUGUGGUACUGAGGAAUGAGAAUGAGUAUAAGGCUUGUGAACAUCCCUUUGUCCGCCUCACACUGAGAGAGAAGGUGGAGGUUGUGGGGGUGUUUGUGGAUUAUGAGGAGGGUCUGGUCUCCUUUUAUGAUGUGAAGUCCAGAUCUCAUAUCUACUCUUUCACUGGUCAGACUUUCACUGAGGAACUCUAUCCUUUCUUCACCGCUUGUUUAAAUGAAGGAGGUAAAAAUGCAGCACCACUGAUCAUCUCUCCUGUAUUUAAAACUGAAUACAUUUAAAUCUCACGAAUUUGAUCAUCAGAUGGUAAGAGUAAAAACAAUUUGUUUACUUUUUUGGUUAGAUUUUAGAAAUACAUCCAUAUAUAUAUCCAUUUAAAAUGCUGUAGAUAUUAUUUUAAUACCUGGUUUUAAUUGUAAUCCUACAGUCUGUUUGUUAUGAUUGUGUGACAUUAUGACUGUGGAACUUUGUCAUUACAAAUCACAUAUUAAACUAUUUAUCCAGCAAUCAGGA